UAUGCUUAACACAUGCAAGUCGAACGGCAGCACGAGAGAGCUUGCUCUCUUGGUGGCGAGUGGCGGACGGGUGAGUAACGCGUAAGAAUCUGCCUAGUAGUGGGGGAUAACUCGGGGAAACUCGAGCUAAUACCGCAUACGCCCUACGGGGGAAAGUGGGGGACCUUCGGGCCUCACGCUAUUAGAUGAGCUUGCGUUGGAUUAGCUAGUUGGUGAGGUAAUGGCUCACCAAGGCGACGAUCCAUAGCUGGUCUGAGAGGACGAUCAGCCACACUGGGACUGAGACACGGCCCAGACUCCUACGGGAGGCAGCAGUGGGGAAUAUUGGACAAUGGGCGCAAGCCUGAUCCAGCAAUACCGCGUGUGUGAAGAAGGCCUGCGGGUUGUAAAGCACUUUCAAUUGUGAAGAAAAGCUUGGGGUUAAUAGCCCCGAGUCUUGACGUUAACUUUAGAAGAAGCACCGGCUAACUCUGUGCCAGCAGCCGCGGUAAUACAGAGGGUGCGAGCGUUAAUCGGAAUUACUGGGCGUAAAGCGUGCGUAGGCGGUUUAGUAAGUCAGAUGUGAAAGCCCUGGGCUUAACCUGGGAACUGCAUUUGAAACUGCUGAACUAGAGUGUGGUAGAGGGAAGUGGAAUUCCGGGUGUAGCGGUGAAAUGCGUAGAUAUCCGGAGGAACACCAGUGGCGAAGGCGACUUCCUGGACCAACACUGACGCUGAGGUACGAAAGCGUGGGUAGCAAACAGGAUUAGAUACCCUGGUAGUCCACGCCGUAAACGAUGUCAACUAGUUGUUGGGAGCAUUCUGGCUUUUAGUAACGUAGCUAACGCGAUAAGUUGACCGCCUGGGGAGUACGGCCGCAAGGUUAAAACUCAAAGGAAUUGACGGGGGCCCGCACAAGCGGUGGAGCAUGUGGUUUAAUUCGAUGCAACGCGAAGAACCUUA
rnacentral:rRNA from 1 species